UGACGUGGAUGGAGAGACUGUUGACAUUGGACUGACUGAGUCAAUGAUUUCAUUCCUUUUUGAGGGAUCGUUUAAAAAACAAGCAAAAUUUCAUCGAUUUAUUCAGCUGAUGAAGGAGACAGUGACAUUAACUCUUGAACCUGUGCCUGUAGAAUCCCAGUCAUCAGCUGGAGCAAGUAAUUUCAGCCUGUCAACAGCUUUUCCUGCAGUUUUUGAAGUUCCGAAGUUUCCAUUUGACGUUCAGGCCAAGUUGGACCGAAAAGAAUGCCGUCAUCAUCAGAGCGAAACAAAAUUAUUAGAACAUUGUAUGAAAGCAUGGCUCAGUACAAAAUGUAUCCAACUAAUGAAGAGUAUGUUCAAGUGGCUAAAGCCCUGACUCUGAGGUAUCCCUUUUUGAAAGACAAAAUUUGUAAUAAUUGCCCAGUGGACAAUUUCCUGUACACCUAUUACCUUUUUGUUUUUUUUUAACAUUUUUAUUUAUUUUUUAUUAUAUAUAUAUUUUGUUAAUGACUGCUUUUAUACUUGU